rnacentral:sRNA from 1 species
UGUCACAAUUCACCGGACGUGCCACGCUC